rnacentral:rRNA from 1 species
CGAGCGAGCUUGCCUAGAUGAUUUUAGUGCUUGCACUAAAUGAAACUAGAUACAAGCGAGCGGCGGACGGGUGAGUAACACGUGGGUAACCUGCCCAAGAGACUGGGAUAACACCUGGAAACAGAUGCUAAUACCGGAUAACAACACUAGACGCAUGUCUAGAGUUUGAAAGAUGGUUCUGCUAUCACUCUUGGAUGGACCUGCGGUGCAUUAGCUAGUUGGUAAGGUAACGGCUUACCAAGGCAAUGAUGCAUAGCCGAGUUGAGAGACUGAUCGGCCACAUUGGGACUGAGACACGGCCCAAACUCCUACGGGAGGCAGCAGUAGGGAAUCUUCCACAAUGGACGAAAGUCUGAUGGAGCAACGCCGCGUGAGUGAAGAAGGGUUUCGGCUCGUAAAGCUCUGUUGGUAGUGAAGAAAGAUAGAGGUAGUAACUGGCCUUUAUUUGACGGUAAUUACUUAGAAAGUCACGGCUAACUACGUGCCAGCAGCCGCGGUAAUACGUAGGUGGCAAGCGUUGUCCGGAUUUAUUGGGCGUAAAGCGAGUGCAGGCGGUUCAAUAAGUCUGAUGUGAAAGCCUUCGGCUCAACCGGAGAAUUGCAUCAGAAACUGUUGAACUUGAGUGCAGAAGAGGAGAGUGGAACUCCAUGUGUAGCGGUGGAAUGCGUAGAUAUAUGGAAGAACACCAGUGGCGAAGGCGGCUCUCUGGUCUGCAACUGACGCUGAGGCUCGAAAGCAUGGGUAGCGA